GACAGAGGGUGCAAACGUUGUUCGGAAUUACUGGGCGUAAAGCGCGUGUAGGCGGCUAUGUAAGUCGGGUGUGAAAUCCCCAGGCUUAACCUGGGAACUGCAUUCGAGACUGCAUUGCUAGAGUAUGGGAGAGGGAAGUGGAAUUUCCGGUGUAGCGGUGAAAUGCGUAGAUAUCGGAAGGAACAUCAGUGGCGAAAGCGACUUCCUGGACCAAUACUGACGCUCAUGUGCGAAAGCGUGGGGAGCAAACAGG
rnacentral:rRNA from 1 species